rfam:Triticum urartu cultivar G1812 contig315028, whole genome shotgun sequence.
GUUCUACUCUCUCUGAUCCAAAAUUCUUGUUUUAGAUUUGUCUAAAUACGGAUAUAUCAAGUCACGUUUCAGUAUUAGAUACAUCCAUAUUCAGACAAAUCUAAGGCACGAAUUUUGGGACGGAGGGAGUAUAAU